rnacentral:tRNA from 1 species
GCAGAUGUGGUGUAAGUGGCAACACAAGGGCAUGGUAAGUCCUCGAUGUGGGUUCGACCCCCGCCGCCUGCUCCU